rnacentral:rRNA from 1 species
UACGAAGGGUGCGAGCGUUAAUCGGAAUUACUGGGCGUAAAGCGCGCGCAGGCGGUUUUUCAAGUCAGUGGUGAAAGCCCGGAGCUCAACUCCGGAACUGCCAUUGAAACUGUGAAACUUGAGGAUGAGAGAGGUGAGUGGAAUUCCCAGUGUAGAGGUGAAAUUCGUAGAUAUUGGGAAGAACACCGGUGGCGAAGGCGGCUCACUGGCUCAUUUCUGACGCUCAGGCGCGACAGCGUGGGGAUCAAACAGG